GCUUUAGAUUGCGAGUGGGUGCAUGUCUAUAAAAACCCACUUAAGCAACACUUGAAGUACCACACUACUCUUUACAUUCUUUCGUCUUCAUAUUUCAAAAGCUCUCUAAUAUUAAGCGAUGGCUGUGUCUCCAAUCCAGUCGGUGCUUGGAAUGUUGGGUAUUAUGUCCAUGCAACACCGUCAUGCUGGGGUGCAUAUCAGCUCAUUUUAUCCACCUGUUGCACAAGUUUGGAACUCGUGGUUUAAUUAAGUCCUUUACCGCUUCUGGAUGAAGACUGAAAGGAUGUGUUUGUGUUAUCCUUUUAAGUAAUGUUAAUAAGCAUGGCUUUGACUGAUCCACUAUCUCCACUGGAGUGUGUGUGUGUGAAUCUCAAUGCUAUGAGCAAAUAAACUGUGUCUUUAUGUACUUCUAUUUCAUGUGCUCGUAAUAAAUCAGUCUUUCGGCCAAACAGUUAUUAAAUAUCUUUGCUUAAAAAUUUUUGAACAAAUAAUUUGUUUCCUCAUCAAAAUAUUUGAAAUAUAUAUUAAUAUAUAUUUUAAUUCAAGACUUAAAAAUAAGUUGCCUAAAUACUUUAUUUGAAACAAUCGAAUUAAUUUUUAACAAGACACGAAACAUAACUCCAAAAAAGAACAGAAAGUGUAUGUAAUGGUGUUGCAGACUGAAUGCAUUUCUUGUUUUCAAUAUGAUUGGUUAGUCACAACAUGAUAAAAGGUUUUUUACGAUCAGUUGUGGUUUUAGGUUAAUUGAAUUUAUAAAAUAAUUGAUGCAUUUAUCUAUAAUUUGUAAUGUUUUUUAACAAUUCUGUAAAACAUGGUUCUUUCUUAUGAAAUUGCCAAAUUACUAAAUAAUAGUUUCAGUACCAAUAUUUUAUAAUAAGUCCUAAACAUUAUAAAAGUGGUUAUUUUUUUUAAACAAAAGCUAUGGACUUUGGUUGUUCACAUUUUCCAAUGUUUUCUAUUUUUUUAAAAAUUAUUAGAUUAGAGAAUAAUAGCUCCAAUUGCCUAUAUUUUUGUUAAAAGUAGUUAUUUUUUGUAAAAGGAUUAUUCACAAAAUAAGAGUUCAUAUUAUCAAUAUUUUGUAAUAUUAUCAAAGAUCUUGUAAAAAAUGCUUCUUUUUUUUUUAUUAAAGAGUUGUUUAUAGAAUAAUAGUUCUGAUUACUAAUAUUUUGUAAAAUUUUCUAAUCUUUUUGUAAAAAAUAUAUAUAUUUUUUGUAAAUUUAGGUAAAACUAAGUAAAUUGUUAAAUUUAUCCCGACUCAUGCGUUGAUAAAAGGUUGUCCUCCAUCCAUAUUUUUGAUAGGGUUUUAGAUAGGUUCCAUAAUUAUUUUUAUGCAGCACAAUGUAUAAAUUUAUCUCUGUAUUUAUAUGUACAAAAUAUGGUAGCACUUUUAAUUUUUGCCAGUGUUAGAACUUACGUAACGUGGGAGCAAUAUUAGAUGAAAAAAUAAUUUUUUAUAAAAUCAUUCAAAAAUAAUAAAAUUGUAUAAUAAAAUAAUCAUGAAAUGUAUUACAAAAUUGUAUCUCAUUGAGAUAUGUUAAAAGAAAGUUAAAAUGCUAAGAUGUGUUUUCUUAAGUAUCCUGCGAAGCUUUUUACCAAAGUAUGCAAUAAAAAAAACUAUGCAUGGUAUAAUCUAGGGGUGUCAAAAUGGGUUGGUUUGUCAGGUUCGACACCAAUUCACCUAACACGCAACAUAAUUACGGUCAACAUAAAUACUAUCAAUUUAAUAUUAUUUUAAAUUUAUCAACAUGAACACGAUACGAAAAUUAGGCAAGUGAUAGGAACACGAUAAAUUUAACCCAACUAAUAUUAUAAACAAGUUAAGUAGUUCGUGUUGACCCAUAUACAACCCGUGUAAUCCGCUUGAUAUCAUAAACAAGUUAAAGGUCCUUACUGUUCUUAUUUUUUAUUUUUUUAAUUUUGAAUAAUUGAUAAAACUUGUUGGUCCCUACUGUUCUUUUUCACACGUGGCAAUCUUAUAGGCUUACACUUGGCUUCUAUAUAAUGGAAACUGAUUUUCUUUUCUAUAUUAUAUAGAUAUAUAGAUUUUGAUAUAUUUGAUACUUUAAUUUAUAAAAUUAUAUCCAUACAAUAUUUCAGCUUUUAAAAAUUAUUUUAUUGAAAAAUCGAAUUCGUAAAAUUGAAUUGAUUAAAAUUUACUAGAUAGUUAAAAUAUAUGAAAAUUAUUGUUUCAAAAAUUAUGCUAAUAACACAUUAAGUAAACAUUUUGCACGUAAAUACCAAAAACAUUAAAAAAAAUUAAUAUAACUAAUAUUAAAAGGAAUAAAAUAUUAUUAAAAUUUGUAAUUUUAAGAAUAUAAUAGAUUUAUCACAAAGUUUAGAAUCUAACAGUAUAUCCCUAAAAUAUAGGGAUUAAUUUAUAUAUUUGGCAUUUUUCUCCACGUUUUAGUAAGUUUCUGCGAUCUUACUUUCAUGACCACAAUCACACAAGCACAAGAAGCCAAGAAACCAUUAUUCGUAAGAUGCAAGACAAAGCUUUUUCUUCUUCAUAAAAAUGGACACAUAGCACAAUCAGUGUCAGCAAUUUGGGAAAGGAUGACACAAUAAAUUAUAAUUAUCACUCGCCAUCAGCUUUCUAUUAUUUGCGGGACAAGAGUAAGUGCACUUACCAACAGAAGACAAUGUUAAGGUUGAGGAGAAGGGUAGUGCAGUGGAUAUUCUUGCUUUUGCUAUAAUUUCUAUGUUUUGUUUAGGCUAAUUCAUAGCUACAGAAAUUAUCAUCUUAUCUAAAGUUUUUAUUUUUAUAUGUAUGUUGAGAUUUUUCAGAUUUUUUUCAUUUAGAGCAAGCUAGUAUGAGUGUAAAUGAGAAGUGUUUGUGGCUGAGUAUAAUUUUUUGAAUAAGCUAAAUUUUUCUGAAUUUAAAAUAAUAAAAUAAAUUUAUUUUGCCGAUUAAAAAAAUUAAAAUUAUAUGUAGUGGUUGUGGAUAUCCAACCUUUUUCUUUUUGUUUGAUGAGAUCCUGAUAAGUAUUUCUUUCAAAAAUUAUUUGGAUUCUGCAAUCUUCUGUCACAUGUAUUUGUCUUGCAAACCGUAAAAUUUUGAAUUUUCAGUAUUGGUUGCUAUACAUUUAUGAAAAUAUAUUUUCCUUUUUCAAAAGAAAAAAAAAUCUUAUACAAGUAUAACAACAAUCAUUAUCUAUCACUUGAAUCACUUGCAUCCAAACAUCAUUUGAUACUUUGUUAAAGUUGUCUACUUGGUACAACUUAAUUCUUUACCCGACGGCCGUUAAACAACACAUCAAGUAUUUUAUUCUAAGUUGAACAAAAAUGCCGGCUCUGUGUGUUUAUAUAUAUAUAUAUAUAUAUAUAUAUAAUUAAUAAUAAUAAAAAAAAUUCCUCCUUACAUUUCAUGUUUUUAUAUUUGGCCAUGCUUUAAUCUAUCAAUCAGUAUUUGUAACAUGUUUGGCCAUGCUUUAACCUAUCAAUAUCAAUAUCCAUUAUUGCUUUAUGUUCGAUGAGAUUUUAAUAAUUAAGUAUUUCUCUCACCAAUUAUUUGGAUUCUGUAAUCUUGUGUGACACAGUGACUUGCUAAUUGUUUAUGACUUGAUCCAUUCAUUUAUUAGAAGGAACCUAAUCGGCAUUAGUGCAAGAUUAACAUUAUUUCUGCUUACAAUUAAAAUGGCCAACCAAAUAUACGCUGAUAGAGUGUACCGUCUUUAGAAAACAAAUUGAUUAGUGUAUUUUUAAUAUAGUUUUUAUUAGGAUUUUUAGUAUUUUUAAUUAUUUUAAUUAGUUUCUAUUUAAUUUAUUUAUGUUUUUUUUCAAAGUUUCAUUGAAUCAUAUUUCACUUGAUUUUAAGAAAUUUUAUAGGAUUUUGAUAUAGAAAAGAGCAAAGUGAAAUAAAACUCUCAAAGGCUGGCACGUCUUAGGCGUUCAACUCAACACCCCAGUGCGGGAUUGAAGAGAAAUUAACAUAGAGACUCAGAGCGUAGCAUGCCCAAGCCGUGUAUUAAAAUUGUUUAGAUACGGCAGAGAUCUCUCCUUAUAUAAACUUAUUAAAGCUUUUUUAAGUCUAAUUAGGAAAACCACUUAAUUUGCAGAGGAAGAAAUCUAAUCACAAAAGAAAACGAUUAAGUCUUGUAUUUCUUCUGAAAUUAAGAGUCCAAUUGACCAAUUAGAAUUAGAACUCAAAUUAGGUAAUUAUCUUUGCGGUUCCCUUUUUUUUAACUUGAUAUUUAGCAAAUUUCUAAUUCUCUAUAAAAACCUUCUAGAACGAAAUCAAAAUAAUAAAGGAAGCAAAAAUUAAUAAUUAAAUAAAAUAUAAAUAAAACUAAAUAAAGACUAUCUAAAAUAAAUAAAAUACUACUCCCUCAGUUCUAAAAAAAUAAUCUCACUUUUUAUAAUGAAUGCCCCAAAAUAAUAGUGUCAUUUCUAUUUCGGAAAUAGGUUUUUGUUAACUUUCUUAUAUUCUGCCAACAAUUAAUAUAAGUAGACUUACAAAAUAUUCAGUCAAAAUAUAAAUAUAAAAUAAUAUAAAUUAAUUGAAACAUGUGCGGAGAUAUUAAUUUUUUUUACUGAAAAACUCUAUAAACAUUAAUCAAAAAAAUUUUAAUAUAAGGGUAUAAAUGAAAAAGAAGGAUAACUGAUAUAUUUAAACUAAUUUAACUAUUCAUUCUUAAUUUGUAUGAAAAAAGAGUGAGACUAUUUUUUUGUGACGGACAAGUAGAAAUUAUAAUAAAAAUUAUAUUAUAAAAAUUAUAAAAAAUAAACCUAUCACCUCUUUACAUUUCAUGUUUUUAAGAUAAAAAUAUUGAUGGGUUAUAUUUAUUUUGAAAUGUGAUUUUAUUAUAUAAAAUAGUGUUGAUGUUCGGAUUGCUGAAUGAUAAAUUGUGGCGGACUAUAUUAUAUGAUGUUUGAAUACUUGUUGCUCAUACAUUUGUUAUUCACAAAGGGUAUUUCAAUCUUCUUUUAAACUAGUUUUUUUUUUUUUACAACGUGCAUUGUAAGUUGAUCAUUUUCUUUAUAUAUUUAUUUUUUUAUCUAUAUAAUAUCAAAGUAUGAGUUUUGUUUAGAUUAAAAUAAAUAUAAAUGGUUAAUUUGUAUCUACAAACUACUUGUAAUGAAGUGGUCUCAAAACAAAAUUCAACCCAAUCUUUAGACCCACUUCUUUAGUUUCUAAUUUAUAAAUGCUGAUUUUUAAAAUCCUAAUAGGUGCCCAAAAAGAAAAUCAAAUCAUUACUCAAUCUUCAACCUCUGUCCUCAAUCUCAAAUCAAUAUUUAUAUACAACUAUAAUUAAAAAUAAUAAUAAAUUAUUUUUAUUGCUAGAUAAAAGAAAAGAAUUGAGAGGAUGAUCUGAAUUAAUAAUGAAAACUACUUUGGUUACAGUGGUAAUAUUAUUUACCCAGUAUAUUAAAGAAAUGAAUAUAUGCGCAUAUAAACAAAUACUGGAAACCCCCAAAUGUGACCCACACAGAACUAUAUAGUUCUAGUUUUAUUUCAGUUUUGUGGUUUGUUUUGCGAAUUCAUAACUUAAGAUUAUUAACUUAUGAAAACCCCUCGUGAGUCAAAUCAUAUAGUUUCGACAUCAAGUUAUUAUUCUCAUGUAAUUUGUUACCUUUUUCAUAUGAAAAACUCUUUUUCCGAUAGUGAUUAAUGAAAUAAAUCAAUCCAGGGGAAAAAUUCUGCCUCAAAGCAUUAAGUUCAAUAAUAAAUUAUACUUUGAACAAAGAAAAACAAAUCUAAUAUUAUAAAUUGGAAAAGAAUUCAAGCUACAUCAAAUCCCUAGGAUGAAGAUUUAGUUCGACAUAGUAAUUAAAUAAAACCCAAUAAUACUUGAACAAAAUUUCAUAAUAAGUGUGAAUAAUGAAAAGUAAAACAAGAUUAAGAGUUUAGAAAUAAAAACUAGGCAACAUAUAACGAGACGGCUUCCUUGAAUUUUUGCACGAAUCUUGAAUGCUUGAAGUCUUUGAGAGGGAAAAGAAACAGUCGAACAGAAAUUGUCAAAGACCAGAGAUGCCUCUAUAAUAAAUGGCCCCUCUCUUUAUAUAGACUUCUUGGGAGAAAAUUUGACUCUGUUUAGGAAAUAGACUCCUUAUUAAGUAAGAGAUCUUUUUGGAGAUAUGAAACUAUUUAGGCUUUAGAUUUCUUCUCAAUUAGGACUUUUUCCAUCUUCCUAAAUAGGAUUAGAACUUGUUUUGCACAUAAGAAAAAAUCAGAGGUGGGCCCAUGUAAGUUAUAGAAACUGGCUGGCGUUCUCAAUUUAGGACAUAAUCAAAUUUGUAGCAUGGGCGUGCUGUUUUGCACUGUCUGGGCGUGCCAGAGCCUGAGUUCCUUGGUUGGUUCAGCACGGGCCGUGCUGCGCAAUACGUCCAGAGAAAAUUCUACGGCACAUGCAUGCCCCAUAGCACGGGUAGGGCAUGAUAGGCUUUGACUUUCCAGGAUGAAAUGCAUCAUAGCUUAAGCACCCCCUGAGGUCUUCUUAGGCACGGGCGUGCUAAUGUGCACAGGCAGGGCCUGCUAGGGCUUGAAUGUUUUGCUUUAAUUUGCUCUUUUCUGUGUCAAAAUUCUGUAAAUUUCUUUAAAAUUAAGUGGAUUAUGAUUCAAUGAAACUUUGAACAAAAACAUAGAUAAAACUAAAUAAAAAUUAAUUAAAGUAAUUAAAAUUACUAAAAUUCCUAAUAAGAACUAUAUUAAAAAUACUAUAAAAAUAGCACCUAUCAUCUUCAAUAAUGUUAACUUCCCUUAUCUUUUUUUUUUUUUUUUCCAAAUGACCCUUAUCUUAUUAAUUUGAUUUAUAAUAAUUUAUAAUAGCAAUUUCUUUUAUUCACAGUUAUUUUUCAUAUUUUUAAGAGAAUCUUAUAUGAAUCGGAGUGUAAUUAUAAUUUUUGUAGUUAUAUUUUUCAUAUUUCUUUUAUUCACAGUUAUAUAUAUAUAGAUUUUGUAGUUAGUAGUAAACCCUAAACCUCUAUUUCUAGUCUGCUUCACCAGUUAUCUAGGUCAACACUAUGUCCGGCCGAUUUUAUUGCAUUGGUUCCAUGUCUUGUCAGGCUGGUGGCCUUGCCGACAACUUAAUUUGUAUACAAAAGUACCCAUAUUCUUAUGAAUUUUUUCUAGUGAAAUUUAAUAGUGCCGAUGAUAAAUUGGAUUUUAGGUAUGACAACGUGAUAAUAAUUCAGUAACAAUAGGAUAAAUAAGCUCAUUAUUAUCAAUAAUCAAUCAAAUUAUUCUACCUGUUAUUUAAUACCUCUUAAAUAAGCCGUUGUUGCUUGAUAUGAAAAAUAAAUUCUGAUUGAAAGCGUGAGACCUAACAUAAUAGGUUAAUAUCCAUAUAAUAUAAGAAAGCAGGCCGAGCCGGAUAUCUUGGCUUCAAUGAGUUUAUCACUGCUAUGCAAGUUUUAAUUUAGUACUUUUUCUGAAGUUUAUUAUUAUUAAAUUAAUUGUUAUUUACUGAUUAACUGAUGCUUUGAAGGGUAGUUAGUUUCUUUAGCGCAAGCAGGACAUGAAAUAACUCAUGAUCUCUUUUUUAUUGCACGUGCGCAUAAAUAAAUUAAAACAACCUUUAGCCCCAGCCAGGUGGCCAGGUAUGUUUAUAAAUUAUUGUCAGGUAUACCUAUUGUCUCAUUGAAACUCUAUUAUCACUUGAGUACAAAAACGACACGACUUCACUAUUGACUCAAACAACACAACAUAAUGAUAAGUAAGUUUUUAGGUUAUACCGUGUUUAGUUAGAGAUAAUGCAAUAUAAUGUAAUUAAAUAUAUAAUAUAAUAAAAAAUAUAAUUAAUGAAAUAGAAUAAAUUAAGAUUUUAUUAUUAUAUUUAAUAAUGUAAUUGAGAAAAUUUAUAUAAUAUAAUUACAAUUUUAUUUUUAUGUUAGUUUGUUAAUACCUAAUAUAAUUAGCGCACCUACGAGUGGCACAAGGCUGCCUAUUUGAGGUUACAUUGCUGCAACUUUGUAGGAGCGGAUUCCAUGGUUGCAACCUGUUGCGUAUUUUAUUUUAUUUAAGAUAUUAUAGGGGUUAAUUUUAGGAGGUUAAGCGAUGUAAUAAUGCACCCUACUAAUAGAUAAAUUUAUUUAAAUAUGAUUAUGAGAAACGUGAAAAAGAAAAACAAAACAAAGCCUUCAAAUAAAAAUUUUCUACAUUUUCUUUUUGAGGAAAAUAAAUAUAAAAGGUAAAUAGAAUGGUAUAAAACACAGCCUCUUAAGUUUUUGUUUACCUGACAAAUUUAAAUGCGGAGGUAUUAUCUAACAAUAAUUAAGAGGUAUGUCUUAGAGUGGGAUCCAAAGAUGAAAAUCGUAUACUAAAGGAGCCAGCUACUCUUCCAAGAAGAGCUGAAAGAGUGUCUUCAGUUGGAGACAAUAAUAUUGAGAUUCUAAAAAAAUUGGGUCCAAUUACUACUCUUUUAGCCACAUUGGUGGAAAAGAUAGAUAAAAACAUUGAGCAAAUAAAAAAAAAUAGUGCACAAAUUGAAGAGUUUUAGUCUUUUGUUGCUGAUUUGAGGCACUUUCACCAAGAAAUGGGUCAGUAUUUUGAGAUUUUUGAAACAUCUACCGAAGAAAAAAGUUGUCAAAAAAGUAAAGAUGCACUUGAAGGUAGUGAUCAUCAAGUACUCGUAGACUCAGAUGUGACCCAACCUCCUACACAAGAACCAUAAACAAAAUGGAAAUUUGUUAACUUUCAAGAUCUUUUUGCAAGUGAUGAGAUAGAUGACCCAGUAAGAAAAAUUAUGGAGGGCAUACUUGAUGCUAUUAAUGUUGAUCUAGGUAAGAAUGAUGAUAAUAAAUAGGUUAAUGUGGAUUUAUUGGUAGUAAUUCUGCACUUUCUGAUUAUUUUUUAUUUUUUUGUAAGUCACUUUGUGUCCUUUUGUUUUUAGUAUUUGUGCACUUUUCAAUAGUUUUUGGUUUCUCUAUGUUAGUUAACGGUUGUAAACUUUUGUAAGCUAUUUUAUAGCCUUUUAAUUAUUAAUUGUGCCACUUCUAUAAGCCAUUUUGUGUCCAUAUUUUUAGUACUUCUGCACUUUUUCAAUGAUUUUUUUCUGUGUAGUUAACGGUUCUAAACUUCUGUAAGCCACUUUGUGGCCUUUUAAUUAUUAGUUGUACACUUUUGUAAGUCAUUUUGUGGCCAUGUUUUUUGUACUUGUACACUUUUUCAAUGGUUUUUUAGUUAACGAUUCUGAACUUCUGUAAGCUACUUUAUGCCAUUUAAUUAUUAGUUGUGCACUUUUACAAUAGUUUUUUUUUUUUUUAGUUAACGGUUCUAACCUUUUGUAAGCUACUUUGUGGUCUUUUAAUUAAUAAUUGUGCACUUCUGUAAGCUAUUUUGUGGCUAUAUUUUUAGUACUUGUGCACCUGUUCAAUUGUUUUUUUUUUCUCUAUGGUAGUUAAUAGUUUUGAACUUCUGUAAGCCACUUUAUCGCUUUUUAAUUAUUAGUUGUGCACUUUUAUAAGCCAUUCUGUGGCCUUGUCAUUCUUAGUUGUGAACUUUUUCAAUUUCUUAUAAUGGUUAUACUCUUUCGUAAACCACAAUGUUGCCUUAUUAUUAUUAGUUGUACACUUUUCAAAAUGUAAAGUAGUCACACAUUUUGCUAGAGUGCACUUUUUAAAAAAAUUGUGCCUUCAAACUCACCCUAAAACUCGAAUUUUAGGGGAUCACUCAUAUUGUAGACAACCAUAGCCAUUUCUGCUUUAUUAUGUACAGGAUUCAAGUCUAGAGGAUGCAAAGUAAUGGUCAUUUUUGGAUAUUGUAUGACCUAUAUGGAUGUUUUCGAGAGGUAAAUAGAUUUUCCUUGAAUCAGAUCAUCAACUGUAAUUCCAUUUACAUGUGGCCAAUGUUUAGAAGUCGAAGAGUUUGAUUGUAAGCUCAAAAAAUUUGGCUCCAAAUUCUUUUUCAUUUUGGCCGCAAUGUAUUGCAUUUGGGCACUACUUUCUGAAUUUUAUUUAAAUUUGGAGAAAUCAAAUUUUGACUUUUAAUUUUGAAUUUAAAUUGAAAAAUUAUUCAAGUUUAAACAACUAAGAGCCAAAAUUUAAGUUUUCUCUCCUUUAUUUUCGCGUAAAUUUUGGAAAUUUGUUGCAUUCAAUGAAUAAGUUUGAAAAAUUUCCAUUCAUUUCUCAAUCAUGUCAUUACACAAGUAACACAACCCAAAAGGCAUGCGCCUAUUGGGAAAUGUGACAUAAGGACACGUGAAGGUUGCUUUUUCUUGAUCCGUAGGGGCUAUAGGGAUCUGGAAAUAACCAAAUAAUCCAUCUAAAAAGCAAUAAAAUCUAUUCCCUACUAGCCUUUGUAACAUCUGAAUAAUAAAAGGUAAGGGAAAGUGAUCCUUCCCAGUGGUUGAUUUAAGUUUCUAUAGUCGAUGCAUACUCUCCAUCCAGUCACUGUCCUAGUGGGAAUUAAUUCAUUAUUCACAUUUUUUACUGCAGUUGUAACAUCCUACUGAAUCGAAUCGUUGCAUAGAGUCGAGUCGAGUUGGGCCGAACAAGAACCCGGUUCGAGCCAUUUAAAUCCAGAGUGGGGUAGAAUGGGAUGUAACUUAAAUAAGUAAAAGAAGUGGACUUACUUGAAUGAAACAAAAAGAUCAAAGUAUAAGGAGUAGGACUUACUUGCACAGCAGUCAUCCCCCUUUCUUAGGAACUACCUGAACUGGACUCACCCAUGCACUAUCAGAAAUUGGAUAAAUAAUACCUGCUUCAAGUAGCUUUAUCACUUCCUUCUUUUCUACCCCUUGCAUAGCCGGAUUCAACCUCCUUCUACCCCUUGCACAGCCGGAUUCAACCUCCUUUGUGGUCGAAUAGUGGGCUUGUAAUCAUCUUCCAUUAAAAUCUUAUGCAUACAUCAUCUUCCAUUACUAAAGACUCUGUGAGACUCAAAGAAUAUAUCAUGAAUACAUCAUGCAAUACUAGCAGCCUAUAAAUGUUUCCCUACAAGCCCAAACAAAAUACGCAAGCCAGCUGUUAGACUUCAGAAAAUGUAAAAAAUGAAAAAACUGACAAAUACAAAUACCAGAGUUUCUAAGCUACAUGAAGACAAGCAAAAAAUAGUUGAACUGAUACGGAUCGAAUCAAAGAAUGAGAUGUAAGUUCGCCUCUAUGGCACCCCUCGUUUAUAAUGAAACGGAAACACCAAUAAUCGAGAUUAAACGCUCAAGGAAACGGUAACACCAAUAAUCAAGCAAAGAACAAGAUAAACGCCACAAAGAGUUGAUAAGUUUACCUUAAUUCUUGAUGCAAUUAGAGGAAGCAAUCUCUCACUAUCACUCUAAGCAAAGGAGUACAAGCUUGAACAAAUGAAGUUUAUCAAAAAUCAAAAGUUCCGUCCUUACAUGGAAGACAAGUUAUUUAUACUAAAUAAGGAAUCUAGGUUUAACAAAGCAUAAAACACACAAAACACGCCUAAGACACCCCAAGCCUUUAAGUCGAUGUCACUGUAGCGAGUCAAAUUUACUGUAGCAAGUCAAACUAAUUGAAACGGGCACUGUAGCAGGCGUGCUUUCCUCCACUGUAGCAGGCGUGCUUUCCUCCACUGUAGCACUGUAGCAGCGUGCUUUCCUCCACUUAAUAUGCCACCAACAACAUUAAAAGCCUAGGAAUGCCUUCAAGUUCCUCACAACACUUGUUGAAUGCGACAUCAUGAAGUUCUUGUGUUAUUUGGGCUUGAACAAAUAAUGAUAUGGCUGCCCCAUAUCGCUUGGCACGGCUCCUUGUAAUCGGUCCAAUAGGAAGCACCAAUGGAUCUCCUUCGUCGUUCACCAUGCCUCCUUGCGAUCCAGUGACGAGUGAUGAUGGAUCCGUAUCAUGAACAACCCCUUUUCUCUUAAGUGAAAUAUUUUAAUCAAAUCAACUCCAGGGAAUUCCUCAAGAUGACAUCAAGAAGUAGUCUCACGACAAAUCACUGCUUUCUUCUAAUGCCCAAACCCCAAUCAUUGUUACAUACCAACAAUGCCAACAAUUAAAUAUCAAAUCCCUCCCAACUCGGAAGCACCUAUAUAGAUAGCCAAAGGAGUGGUAUCUAUGUCACCUUUUCCCUUCAUAAUAUGCACACACACACUAACUAAUAGGUGCCUUAGAAAAGAAAGUUGAAUAAUAGUUCAUGGCAAGGACAUGAGUGCACACUAAUUCAGUGUUAAAGGUAAUAAAUGUUGAGAAGACUGAACUGAUUGAAGGACAAGAAGAAACUUCUAGCAUCUAGAAUAAGCCUUAUUAGACCAAGUUAUCAAGCUAUAAAGGACACUAGAGUGUCUUUGAUGAAGCUGAGCGGCUACAGAUUAUAAAACUGUAAAGGCCUCAUUCCUGGAUUUGCAGAGGUUUGGGUCACAAAUAAAUCAAGAAUCGACUAAAACUUGUCAUUUCCAAUUUAUCAGGCAGUUGGCACUAACAUAUUGCUCAUAUAGUCAGUAAACUUAAGCAUGAAUUAAACAUCUAAAGAAAACUCAGGCCUAAAUGCAGUACAAGCAAAUAAUUGAAUUGAUUUGGCAAGUUGAUCCAAGAUCUUCUUUACCAAGUUAAAGAAAAAAAGACCAGGAGAAACAAGAAUAAAUAUUCACAACAAAUUCAAGCCAGAAUAUCUACAUUAAAUUAAUAAGAAAACAACAACUUGCAACAUAAAAGUACCUGUAAAGCAUCUUGUUUGGGUGAAGAGGAUAACACCAUUGUGAGAAGUUCAAUGCUAUUUCUUGCCACAUCAAAUGCUUCCUUAGUUUGUUCAGCUGUAAAGCUUACCACGGGCAUAUCAUGCUGAAUCUGCUAAGCAAGAUUUGCAUCCACUUCCGGUGGUGAAACUGUACGAGGAGGGGUAAAGAUACGUGCCAAACUCUCAUUGUCACGACCAGGGAACCGGAUACCCCUUGAUCUUAAACUCUAUAAUAGCAAAGGAAAAUGCCCAAAAUAGGGGGAUAAAUGAGAGGAGAGUUCAAGAAGCCAUGACUUGGUGUUAGCCAAGAAUAGCCAAAUUUGAAACUAAGAUCUAAAACAGCAUUAUAUCAUAAACGAACACACAACAUCCUUGUGCAACUCAAACUAAGAUCUAAAACAGCAUCUAAAACAGCAUUAUAUCAUAAUUCAUUUUGUUUCAUAAUAAAUUAGGAAAUAAAUUAUCUAAUAGUCUUGGUAUUUGUAUCACUACAUGUAUCCAUGGAUUUUAACUGUAAAUCCAAAUUCAAAUAGGAAUAAAUAAAUGUUUAGAAUUAACUUUCUAUCAUUUUGCUGUCCAAUCUUUUGUCUCUGCAACGUAGAAAACAGGCAAAUGGUAGAGUAAACUUUUAAAUAGCAUAAAUAACAAAAGAUUAUAAUUUCACAAGUCAAAGCCAUGGAUUUACAUUUUUUAAGCUAAUAUUUUUAAUUCCUUAACUCUUUUCUAAAUUCAUAGUUAUUAUUUGGAAAGAUAAAUAGAAAGGCAAGAAAAGUGAUAAAAAAAAUACAAAAUUUUGUAUUUAAUGAGAAUCAAAUUCACCUUUAAUCUGCAUUUUAGCGAGUCACCAGCAAUAUUUUUUUAUUGCCUAAACAACCUAUAAUUUGAAAGUGCAGGCAAAAUAAUCAAAAUAACAUGUAAUCAAAGAGUAUGAAGGCAACAAAAUAGCAAAAAAAUUUUAAAAAAAACUCAAUCCAAGAAAAAUAACAACAAAAUAAAAACUCAAUCCAAGAGAAAAGCAAAAAAAAUAAAAAGUUCACCUGAUUCUGCAGUAAUGAAAUAAAAAGAAUAACAAAUACAAAUAAUAUAUAAGUAGAUAUAUGGUUAGAGAGAGAUAAAAAAAAAGGAGCAAUUCAAAAGCUUUCAAAUAAAAAGAUACAUAGCAAAAUAUGAUUAAAUUUGUUAGAUUCUUUCGUCAAAAAAAAAAAUUGUUAGAUUCAAUUUUCAAACAAAGAUGCAAUAUCAAUACAAUUCUUUAAAUAUAAAUAUGAAUAAAUUUUAAAAUAUAUUUUAAUGGCCAAUCAAAUUAUAAAAAUAAAGAAAAAAAAUAGUAAAAAGAAAAAAAAAGCUCAAAAAUUUGUUAAAAAAGAAAAAUAUGAAUACUUAAAAAAGUAGAGAGCCAACUAAGCUUUUGUAAGUUUUUUUUUUUUCAGGAUUAUAUAUAUAUAUAUAUAUAUAUAUAUACACACAUUAUAAUUAGGGGCGAAUUACUUUUUAAUCCCUGAAUUUUGGUGUAAUUAAUAAUCUUAUUCAUUUAUUUUGAAACACAAAUUAAUUCAUAUGAUUGGUUGCACUAUUAAGUUUUAUAUCCAUCCAUGAAACAAUUUGAUUUUGAUAGUGUUCAGCAAUAACUUUUUAACUAUGUUAUUUUUUUUAUAGUAUUCGGUAAUAUGACAUUUGUACUAAUUUUUAAAUGUUAAGUUAGCGUUUUAUAAAAAUGUUUAGCUUUUAAUAUUUUAUAAAAAGCUACUCAAACAGCUAACGACUAAACGCAACUAAAACAAUUAAUAGCUGUCAAAACAAUUAAUUUUGCUGAAGAGAUCCUUUAACUUUUAAUGUUAAGGUAGCGUUUUACAAGAACGUUUAGCUUUUAGUGUUUUAUAAAAAACAACUCAAACAGCUAACAAUUAAAUGCUACUAAAAUCAUUAAUAACUAUCAAAACAAUAAAUUUUACAGAAGAAAUCCUUUAGCAGUCAAAUAGAUAAAACACAGUCAAAAUUGAGGGAAAAUAUUUUGGUGUCAAAAUUAUUUUAUAAAUAAAUCUCAAAAAAGUAAUCAUUAAGUGCUAAAAGAAAAAUUAGAUUGUUAUUUCUUUUUCUUUUAUUGUUUUCACACUGAAAUUAUGGUACAAAGUUAUUGAUACAAUGCCGCAAUUUUAAGCAGACUGACAAACUCAAUAUAACACUAACAAAAUAACACAAUUUUUAAUCAACAACACAAAUACUAUCAAUUCUAUUGUGCUUGAUUGUGAAUCAAGAUGGUAUGUAUAAGUUGUGUGGUUGAAUAUAAAAUAUGGUUUCUGAUUAGGAAGAAGAUUCCACACUGGGAAGAUUGGUGGCAUUGAUAUAAUUUAUGUGAUGACUGGGGACCAAAUUGCAAGAUUCCAUUCGUCACUCUCUUUACUUUUUUGUAAUAUAUACAGUUUAAAAUUUACCUUCAUUGCCUUUUUAUCAUUCUUUCUAAAUUCUAAAUUCCUAAUUAAUAUGCAUGGUUAAUAAAGUUUAACUAAAACAAUGUAAACUGGAUCAAAUCUAAACCUUCCACCAAAUCUAUAAUCUGUUGAUUUCUUUACAUUUUCUGUCAAUUUUCUCCAAUCUCUUACAAUUGUUAGGGUAAAUUUAGUUAAAUGCAGGCAUAACAGUACAAAUACUUGCUGGUACAUUUGAAAUUGAAGGAAUAGUUCAUUACGGAACAGCAGGAAGUGUUAAUGCUUCAUUAACUAUUGCUGAUGUGAGUGUUCCAACUACGUUGCCUUUACGAGUUCUUGGAAAUGGAAGGUAAAACUUUUCAAUCUUCAUUUUCUUUAAUUUUCAAUUUUCUUCUACUUGCCUUUAAUCCACUUGGGAAGUGCAGGAGUUGAAGUCAGGGACAGGGAAAUUGCCAGAACUAAAAUUUGGAGACUUUAAUUUUCCAGGAAAAGGAGAAAAUUUAUUAGCAAAGAUAGAAUUCACACCAACACAGGUUUUUUCGAUUGGAAAAUCAAUGGAGGAGAUGUUUUGGCUUCCAAUAGACUCUAAAUGGUUUAACAUUGCUUCUCAACUUCUGGUUUGCCAUUUUCCUGAUUCAACACAUUGUACUAGAAACCGAAACUCGAUUUUCAAACCUAAACCUAAAAUAUUCUCGAUAAGAAUAUUUUUGACAUUUUGCAGUAUGUGUUUAUUUAUUAAUUUGUUACAUCCAAUUCUGCAGGAAAUAAAUUUAGAACGAGGUGUAAACGACACCUAUUGUUUGGCAGAAGCACCAAAAGUAGUGUUUGGAUUAAGAGGCUGCACUGCUUAUAUAUUCGUUGACAAUGCAGGGUAUAGAGAUUUUCUUUUCAAACAAUUCAGUGUCUCAACAGUAGAUGAAGAGAGUGCAGCUAUCGUCAUGGUUAGUAAGAACUUCUUUUAUUAAAUUAACCAAGUAGAAAAGUUCACAAAAUACAUAAUUAAAAUUGUAAAAUUAAUCAUAAUCAUUAUAAUUUUCAAUGGAUUUUAAGGCUUCUCUGUCAAAUGGAGUGCCUUGUGUUGUGUUUCGCGGGGUAUCGGAUUUAGCUGGUGGAGAACUAAAGCUGGCUGAGACGAGCUUCAGUCCUCUGGCUUCUGUCAAUGCUCUUAUUGCUGCGGUUGAGUUUAUAAAAUUAUCAGGGAAUAAGGUUAAGACUAAUACAUAUGCAGUGCAGGAAAAUUGAAACUAUAAACUCCAUCAACCCCUUUUCUUUUCUUUUCUUUGCUAAUGAUUAAUUAGACUGCUUGUACUCGCUAAUUUAUAAUCCUGUUGCAAAUUAUAAACUAGGGUUUUAUUGAGGUUGCAAUAAUAUAUUAUUCUUAUUGUUACUAUGAAAACAAAAUAUUAUUGACGAAUCAACUCCUCUCGCCUUCCUCUUCAAUUUGUUGGCUUCAAUCAUGAUUAUUAUUGACGAAAUCGGAAAUUCCCAAAAGGUGGCCGGCCGAUUUCCGGUCAAUCGAUAAAUGCCCACGCUAAAAUAACAUCACGUUCGUUAUCCUUGCUCUGAGACGAACUUUCUGAUGUAUGAUUUGCUAAAUUUGGGUGUAGUUGACUUUUCUCACCCACCAUGAACGGCGGCCGACAGCGAUUUUCCGAUCAGAUUCAGAAUAUAUAAUUAGUGUUGCGAUCAGAUAGUAAUUGACCCUUGAUUUAAUAAUUGAUGCAAAUUGAGAAAUUAGAUUGUGAAGCCGAAAUUCAUAGAAAAUGAAGGUAUCGGUAAUUUUCCGACCUUAGAACAGAUUGAGUUAGUUAUUUGUAAAGUAAACGGAUUGUUAUGGCAGGGGGACAGGUUUUUUUUUUUUUUUUUUUUUUUUUUAUAAUAUGGCAGGUGAACAGUUAAUUACCGUUAAACUUGAUUUAGAAAUUGUUUAAUUCAUACUUAUUCUUUUUAAUUAAUAAAAUAUAAAAUAAAAGGGAGGAAGAAAAGAAAAAAGGAAGUGCAAGCAUACUAAGGAUGUGGCGGAGGAGAGAUAUACAGUGAAAAUAGCUUCUGAAUUUUGGUUACAACUUUGGCAACGGAUAAAAUUUCUGUUGCGAACCCCUUUGCAGACUCUCAGAGGAAAACUUCUAUUGUGUUAUAUCUUUAGAAACGGAAAAAAAGUCCGUUUCUAACACGUUCAUAGAACCCUUCAUCAACUCUUGGCAAAGGAAAAAUAAUGAAACAAGAUUUGUUAAUUAAUAAAAAUAAUAUGAUUAAAAAAACUAAUAUAAUCAAUCUAAUUAAAUUAUAUAAAUAAAAUUAAAAUUUCUCUAAUUAGUGGGUCUAUCUCUUUAAGAUAUUUCAUGAUAAUGCUAUUGAGGAGGAAAAACUUAUAAGUUUGUAAUUAUUCGUGAUUACUAAACAAUUACAGUUAAUCUAUAGAUUUAAAUUAUAAGAACUAUAACUAAAAACUAUUCUAUUAAUUUGUAAAUAGAUAAAAACUAUUCUAUUAAUUUGUAAAUAGAGAGAGAGUUAAGGUUAUACUUAUCUCAGAAGAAAAUAUGAUUGCAAAUUCAAUAAUUCCAAAUUAGCAAAAACUUGAUGUAACAAUUCUUGAUAGUCAAAAGCAAUUAAAACUAAAAAUAUAUAUAGUGGUAUGAUAGGACAAGUUCCUAAUUAGAAUGAAUUAAAUUUAUAAUAUUAAUAUAAUAAAAAUAAUAAAUUGAUAUCAUAAUUUGAAUAGAAUCGGUAAUGAUAUUUUUGUCAAUUAACAAACUUAGUAUCGGCGUUUUAGAAAUCUUAUAUUCCCCUCAUUCGUACUUUUAUAUAUAUUAUAAAUUAUAAAUUAUAGAUUAUAGAUAUGGUUAUAAAGAAUUAAAAAUGCGAAAAUUUAAAAUAAAAAUAUUGAUGGGUUAUAUUUAUUUUGAAAUGUGAUUUUAUUAUAUAAAAUAGUGUUGAUGUUGGGAUUGGUGAAUGAUAAAUUGCGGCGGACUAAGUUAUCUGAUGUUUGAAUACUUGUUGCUCAUACAUAUGUAUUUCAAUCUUUUCAUUUAAACUAGUCUUUUGUAUAUGGUUAUAUAUUCAUUUUUUUAUCUAUAUAAUAUUAAAGUAUGAGUUUUAUUUAGAUUAAAAUAAAUAUAAGUACUCAAUUUGUAUUAUAUUUUACCGUACAAACUACUUGUAAUGAAAUGGUCUCGGAAUAAAGUUCAACUUAAUCCCUAGACCUACUUCUUUAGUCCCUAAUUUAUAGAUGCGGAUCUUUAAAAUCUUAAUAGGUUCCCAAAAAGAAAACCAAGUCAUUACUGAAUCUUCAACUCCUGCCCUCAACACCAAAUCAAUAUUUAAAUAUAACUAUAAUGAAAAAUAAUAAUAAAUUAUUUUUAUUGCUAGGCAAAGAAAAGAAAUGAGAGGAUGAUCCGAAUUAAUAAUAGAAAUUACUUUGGUUACGGUGACAGUAUUAUUUACCCAGUGUAUCAGAGAAAGAAAUAUAUGCGCAUAUACACAAAUAAUGAAAUUCCCAAAAUGUGACCCAAAUAGAACUAUAUGACCCAAACAAAACUAUAUAGUUCUAGUUUUAUUCCAGUUUCCUAAACACUAUUUUCUUUUAAUCAAACAGAUUUAGGAUAUAAGAGAAAAAAUAUCAAGAAAAUUAAAAAUGUUUAAUCAUCAAUAAAUCAUCUAUUUAUUGCAAUGGGAUAUAAAUCUCUUAAAAUGAUAAUAGUUACAAAUCAUUCAAUAACGAAAAAGAAAAUAAAAAAUUAUUAUUAAGAAUAAAACUCUUUUAAAACUCAUCUAAUAAUAAAAAAGCAUUUCAAUGUAUAUAGAGAUAUAUGAAUGUAUCAAUAAAAUAUUAUAUACUGUUUAAAUUAAAAUUUUCAACUGUUUACCAUCCCAAGUUUAAUUAUGUACAUUCUAUUUGAAAAUUUAUUUUUUUAAAAAAUACAUCCAAUCAAAUCAUACAAACAUAAAAAAAGAAUAUUAAUAUAAAGAAUGUAUUUUCUUUCUUUUUUUUAUCUAUACCCUAAAAGAAUUAAAUAUUUAAUAAAUAAAAUAUAAAAAUAUUUUCAAAUGUCUCAUUAUCAUAUAUAUUUAUUAAAACAUAAAUUUAGUAAAAGUAAAACUUAAAUUUUAAAUGCUGAAUUGUAUAUAUAUAUAUAUAUAUAUAUAUCAUAUAUAUAUAUAUAUAUAUUUUUAAAAUAUAAAUCUUUUAUUCGUUAGGAGGAUUGAUUGCCGAAAUUACACUGCGAGCUACACAACAAAAAAUAAUCCUCCACUCACCAAAUUGGUGAAAAUACCUUUGGUCGAGAGGAUUCGAACUCGAAACAUCUCACUCCUCACAUAAGUGAGAAGACAAUCAGACCACACAUAAUUGACUUGAAGAAUAAUUUUUAUAAAUACAUCAAAUCAAUUAAUAAAAUGUAAUUUUCUAAUUGACAAUAACUAAUGUUAUUUUAAGAUAUCCUAAAUUUCAUUAAGUUCUCUAUUAAAAAUCUCAUUAUGUUCGAUCUUUUCUAUACUGCAAAAUAGUUAUCAAAGAUCUUUGUUGAAAAAUAUUUGAAGAGAUAAUUUAUUUUCUCAUCAAAAUAUUCAAAACACGAGUACAUUUUUUGGUAUAAUUAACAAGUAUAUUCAAAAUAGUUUUUUUUUUUUUUUUUUCUAGAAGCAACAUCUAAUACAAGAGAUGAUUGAAAAAUAUAGGUAAAAUAUGAUUUUCGCUGUAAUGUUGAGUUUUGACAAUUAAAGUUUUAUUUUUGUUUUUAGAAGAUACACAUUAAUUAAUAUGUUGGUAUAAUUAGGAGUAAGGAAACAUUGCAUAUGUUCUCAACAUUUAAGGGAAAAAAAAGAUUUCUUAAAUACUAUUGGUGUCUAACCCAUUUGGUAAUUUUUUUUCACUUGAUUGUAUCUUACUUUGGCUUCUUCACAAGAACUCGAAUUGAAUUGCAUCAAUUUUUUAAACUCUUCUUCUUGGGCACGGUUUUGAAUUGAAGAAAUUGGAAAAGAAAUUGAAGAAAUUGGAGAAUUACUCCACAAGGCCAUGAAUCCACUUUUGGACCCUCGUAAGCCCGCCGUGCCAUCACCUCCGGCGCCGUGAAAAUUGGUGUUCCACAAGCUGUCUGGAGAAUACAUCUGUCGUUUUGGGUCCCAGCAGCAAGUCUUUUGUUUUUAUAAGCGGCAGCUUGUUAUUUGUUGGGUUGCAACUUGAAAGGUUGUUUUGAGUGCAGCCAGGUGGCCAUUAUUUGGUGUAUAAUUCCCGAAAUUUUGCUUUUUUUUUUUUUUUUUUUUUUGGUUAAAGGACUGAGAUGGAAGAGGAAGAGGUUGAGAUGUAGAAGAUGAGGACAAUUUUGUCUUUUAUAGUAUAUUUAACGGUAAAAGUAGGAAAAUUAUACGGAAGGGCACGAUUGUUCAACGAAGUCAAAAGUUAAGGGCAAAAUAAUAUAUUUCUAAAACCGCGAGAAUAUGCUAGUUAAUUUUAACAAAAUAUGAGGAUAAAAUCAUAAUUUUUCCUCUAUAAAAUUUGUGGCGAAUUUCCUCGGGAACAUAAUCUGAGCUCUAAAUUUUGUAUUGGAAUUUAGUACAAAAACUUUAUAAUUAAAGAUCAUUUUUUAGUACUUCAUUUAUGAAAAUCAUGUACAUAGUUUAUAAAUUUAUAUUAAUUUUUUUGUGCAACAUAUACAUUUUGUUUAAUGUACAUAUCUUGAAAAUAAAGUUCUGCCACCUUAGGAAAAAAAAAAAAAAAUCUUACACUUCGUUCUGUAUAAAAGAAUGCAAAUAGAAUUCACUUAUGAAAGAAUUCUAGAUUCAUUUCUAAAUGAAAUUUUCAAGUUUGGAAUAAAUUUAAAAAUUGCAAAUUCAUUUGCUUUUAUUAGUAAGAUAUCAUUUGCAUCAUAAUUUUAGAAAGCUAAAAGAGGAUGGAAAGUUUUGUCACAAAGCUUGAAUUGUUUAAGCUUGUAUAGAAGAUUUUGUAAUAAAGUUUGAAGGAUUUAAGUUUGUAAAAUUCAUUUGAAAAAUCUAAAAAUUUUUUUAUGGAAUUUAAUUUAGUUAAAUUGAAAUCUAUAGAAUUGAAUUUGUAAAAUUUAAAUUUUUAUAUUUUUCACAACAAAUAUAAAAAUUUGGAUUUAUAAAUGAAUUUCACAAAAUCUUGCUGUGAAAUUCAUUUAUUCCAGACAAGAGUUAAAAGCUAAAAAAAAAACUAUAGUAACUUUUUAAUAGCUGUUUUGGUAGCUGUUAGUUAUUUUAAUAACAUUUAAUUAUUAGCUGUUUUAGUAACUUUUUAUAAAACGCUAAAAGCUAAACGUUAUAUGGAUUAACUUUUUAUAAAACGUUACCUUAACUUCUAAAAGCUAAUUCAAACGCUUUAUUACCGAAAACUAUAAAGAAUGACAAUUAGCGUUUUGAUCGGUCAAAACAUUAAAAAUUACUUUAAAAGCUAUCGCCGAAUACAGUUCUAAUACAUAAAUUUACCCUUGAAAUUUAUGCGAUUUAUCUUAUGAUACUUUUAAAUUUGCAAAAGACUUAUUAUAAUCUUAUAUUUUCACAUUUCAAUAAAAAUUAUAUCUCUCCCAAAAUGAAAUAAGUUUGUAAGAGUUAAAUCAUUAUCUUACAACAACAAACAUUCACAGGUGCAAAAAAGAAAAAGGAGUUGAGUACAACACUAGAUUCGAAUGUUAAGAAUGAUGCAAUAAUUGCCUUCAAUGAAUGUAGUUUGUGGACCACGAUCGUGCAUUAUCCAUCGCACACUUUAAGUGAUAGUACGAAUAGAUAUUUCUACUUUUUUUAAAAAAAAUACGAACCAUUGCAUUUUAUUUGACAUGGGAAUAAAUAAAGAAAAAACAUCCUUUAGCCCAACGAGGUGGCCAGGCAUGUCUAUAAAUUAUUGUUAAGUGAAACGUAAUGUCUCAUUGAAACUCCAUUAUAACUUGAAUACAAAAACGACAUGACUUCACUAUUGCCUCAAACAAGACAACAUAAUGACAAUUACGUUUUUGGCUUAAGGUUAUGUAUAAUGCAAUGAAAAAUAUAUAAUGUAAAGAAAAAUUAGUUUUCAAAUAUAUAAUGCAAUCAAAAAUAUAAUGAAAUGUAAUAAAUUAAAAUUUCAUUACUAUAUUUAGUAAUGUAAUUGAAAAAAUUUAUUUAAUAUAAUCAUCAUUCUAUUUUUACAUUUAUUUAUAAAUAUGUAAUAUAAUUAACACACUACCACUAUUAAAACCAUCACCACAACUACUGUUUUACCACCAUCACCACCACCAUAACAUUCACUCCACCAUCACCACCACCUCAGCACCACUCCACCACUAACCAUGCAUCAUUAUUAAUACAUAAGAAAUAUUUAAACAAAAGCUAUUCACUAUAUUAAUUAAUUAAAGAGCAUUUAAAUUUAUAAAUUUAUUUAAAUAAAAAAAUUAAUAGAGAAUAAGUCUGAGAAAAUAUAAUAUAACAAAAUAAAAGUUUACAUAUUUGGAAAUUAUAUAUUUUCUAAGCUAAAUUCAGCUUUUCGGAGUUUAUCCAUCAAAUAUCUCCUCGCAUGAUAUACGUGGGGUCUCUUAUGACAAUUUAUAUGUAGUUUGUGGACAGAGUGCCCCUCUACCAUUUUGUACUUGAAAAAAAAAAAAAAAAAAAAAAAAAGACUAGUCAGCUUCUGGUACUUGACAUGCAACUUUAAAAAUUCAAUAUCGGUUAAAUAGCUUUGACGUUUUCUCAAUUUUUAAAUAACUUAAUUUUUAUUAAAUUAAAAUUAAAAUUAUUGUUUUAUUUUUUAUUGAAAAAAUUAAUCUUUUCAUUAUAUGAUGCCGAAUUAAGGUGAUAAGCGAUGGCUGUGUCCGCAAUCAAGUCGGUGCUUGGAUUGUUGGGUGUUAUGUCCAUGCAACAGAGUCAAACUGGGUUCAAUAUGAGCUCAUUUUACCCACCUAUUGCAAACUUUGUUCGUGUACCUUGGCGUUGAGUCUGAAAUUCUGUUUAAUAUUCGUCCGUGCAGCUUAUGAAGACUGAAAGUCUGUGUUUGUGUUAUCCUUUUAAGUAACGUUAAUAAGCAUGGCUUUGACUGAUCCACCAUCUCCACUGGAGUGUGUGCGUGAAUCUCAAUGCUAUGAGCAAAUAAACUGUCUUUAUGUACUUCUAUUUCAUGUGCUUUUAAUAAAUCAGUAUUUUCUGUGCUGCAAUAAAGAUUUUUGUUUAAAAAUAUUUGAAGAGAUAAUUUAUUUUCUCAUCAAAAUAUUCAAAAUAUUUGGUAUAAUUAACAAGUGUAACCUUUUCUAGAGAUAGAGCUUAAAAUUUUUAUCCUUUCAAUAUUUACAUUUUUCAGAAAUUGAAUUUUUAUUUUAAUCGUUACAGUAAUCCAAGCCACUUGAUUGUUACCGUACCAACACUUUGUAAUAAAUUGCUCAACAAACACUAUUUAAGUGUGAAAAUUAAAUAUUUGUACAUCUAAUACAAGAGAUUAUUUUUUUUCCUUUUUUUUUUUAAAUCAAAGAGGAGGGAUUAAAACCCAAGAACUACUGCAUGAUCUGACGAAGGCCAACAAAUAGCCCCUACCCUAAUACAAGACAUGAAUAAAGAAGACAAGGCAACAUUACGUUGAAUGGUGACAAUCCAAGAUUUUCUUUAAACACUAUCAAAGUCUAACAGUGUGUAAUAUUUUAUUAUAAAUGACCGAUCUGACGGUGACUGGAAUAGUGACACCAUCAAAGGUUAUUAACAUAUAUAUGAUUUAGAGGUGUAAUAUAUUUAAGGUAGAUGAUGUUCAAAAUACACGAGCCUUCUAAUUUAGCUAUAAGUUAAUAAAUAAAUGAUAUUAAUAAUUUAAUUUUAAAAUUCAUAUACUAUAAAUUGUUUUUUUGUAGUUUAAUAAAAAAAUAAAUUUAUUGUUGUCCUAGGACAAAUAAUUUUAAUUUUAUAUUAUUACUAAAAGUUAAGAGUUUAAACUGUAAUAAUUUCUUUUACUGCGAAAGAUUUCUGAUAUAGCAUAUAGUAACAACGAAUAAUUGAUAUAGCUGACAAUUAAUUUUGAACUAAUGUUCAGUUGUGGCUGUUAUUUUUCUAAGUCAGAAUCGUAAUUAAAAAAGAAAUUAUAUCAAUAAAUUAUAUAAUAAAAAAAAUUACUAGUUCCACAGACAAAUAAUUUAAAUCAUAUUAUUACAGAAAGUUUAAAGUUUAAAUUAUGAAAAAUAUUUUUUUUUCUGCGAUGAAUUUUUUAUGUUAAAAGAAGUCUUUAUUUCUAAAAAUUUAGUAAAUUCUUUCCCUUGAAAAAAAAAAAAGUUCAUACUUCAAAACUUUUUUCCAGAACAGUUAAUAAUUUGUUUGUAAGGGUCUUUUCAUUUUCUGUUGAUUGUGUUGCAAAAUCUCAUGUCCUAAUGGCUUCUGUUUUGUCUCUCAACUUGUGUAUUUCUGAUAUGGGAUAAACAAGUAAUUUCCGACACACAAUGCACAAUAAUGUCGGACAUAUGAUUAUUAGCUGACGUGGAAAGCAGGGCACUGCCAUGGCCUUAUCUCUUCAAUAAUUUUUUUUUUUUUUUUUGUGAAAGUAUCUCUUCGAUAAUGUUAACUUCCCUUAUCUUGCUCUUUUUUUUUUUAUUUUUUUUUCCGAAUGACCCUUAUCUUAUUAAUUUGAUUUAUAAUAAUUUAUAAUAGCAAUUUCUUUUAUUCACAGUUAGUAUAUAUAUAUAUAUAUAUANNNNNNNNNNAUAUAUAUAUAUAUAUAUAUAUAUAUAUAUUUUUUUUUGUAGUUAUUAUUAAACCCUAAACCUUUACUUCUAGUUUGAUUCACGAGUUAUGUCGGUCGACACUGUGUCUGGCCAAUUUUAUAGCAUUCGUUCUAUAUUUUAUCAGGCUUGUGGCCUUGCCCACAACUUAAUUUAUAUACAAAAGUACUCGUAUUCUUAUGAGAUGCAUCAACUUUUUAAUUAUUAUUUAUUGGGCAUCAGAUACCAGUUGCCUCAGCUCUGAUACCACUUGUUGGGCCCUUUUAACCAAUUAAAAGAAAAUUAACGCGGUAAAAAAGUAAACUUGUGACACGCAGAAAUUUAUAUGAUUCACCCUCAACUGUUUAGGGCUACGUCACGGGAUAAACUCUGAAUAAUUCUUCUACUAUUAAAAAUAGUAGGUAUACGGAGACUAAUACAAAAAUAGUGGCACUCAAAGUGUUUCCCAAAAACAUCUCAUAAUAAUUUUCUCACUAUUUUCCCCCCUAGUUUUAGGAAACCCUUUCCUAAAACUAGAUAACUCUCUCUAUAUUUUUUCUUCUUCUUCUGUUGUGUUUUGAUGAGGGAAAACCUUCUCCUAUUGAACGCGUUAAUUACGCAUCCACCGAUUGGAUGCGCUAUUAAUGCGUCCAAAAUUUCAACAUUUUCUUUUUUUUUUUUCUUCUUCCACAGCCUUCUUUGAAUGAAAGAAAGUGUUUUUUUUCUUUUCAAAAUGUGUGUGGGUCCCACAUAUCGGAGGGACCCUUCAACAUUAUUUAAGAUGAAUUAUGUCCACUAAAAUAUUAUCUAAUUGUAAUCCGAUAUUUAAAAUCUAUUAGAACGAUCAUGGUUCUCUCUCUCUCUAAAGAGCGAGAGGUAUUAUCUAACAAUAAUUAAGAGAAAUUUUUUUCAACAUAUAAAUCUAAUUUUUAAUUUCAUGUUUAUUGUUUUGCAUUUCAAAUUUUUCUCUCCUUUCAUUUACAGAUGAAUAUAAAGAAAUUAUUUUAAAUUAUCUAUAUUAUUAAUUAUAGAGUUAUCAAAUCCUUAAAAUUAUAUAUUUUUUUUCGUGGUCAAUAUUUAUUUAAAUUAUCAUGCGAAUUUGAUCAAUCCUGUUUUUUGUCAGUAAGGUAGAGAGCUGAACCAAUAAUUAAUUAAUUGUUACUCUCUCCGUUAUUUUUAUUUAGAGAAAAUUUCUUUUUUCGGUGUAUUUUUUAUAUAGAGAACGUUACUCUAAAUAGUAACUUUGGGAUAUAAGCUAAGUUAAAAAGAUUAGAAAGCCCUUGGAGUAUAUGUGUUUUAAGAUUGAAACUCAACUAUCAAGGAAAGUGGCAAACAUAAAUAUUAUCAACAUUUAAUGCAUGCAUAUUUUAAGGGACAGGUUAUCAACUUAUUUUUUCAUUUUGUUUUAUAGUAACAGUUGUUGUUUUUAUAAAUUUGAUCACAUAAAUAACAGAGUUAAUCCUUAUUUAUAUGUCUUGGAGUGGGAUCCAAAGAUGAAAAUCGUACACUAAAGGAGCCGGCUACUCUUCCAAGAAGAGCAAGAAGAAUGUCUUCAGUUGCAGAUAAUAAGGUUGCGAUUCUGAAAAAAUUGUAUCCAAUUAAUACUCUUUUGGGCACAUUGGCGGAAAAGAUAGAUAAAAACAUUGAGCAAACAUAGAAAAAUAGUGCACAAAUUGAAGAGCUGUAGUCCUUUGUUACUGAUUUGAGGCAAUUUCACCAAGAAACGGGUAAGUAUUCUGAGAUUUCUAAAACACCUACUGGACAAAAAAAUUGCCAAAAAAGUAAAGAUGCACUGAAGGUAGUGAUCAUCAAGAACUAGUAAACUCAGAUUUGACCCAACCUCCUACACAAGAGCCAUGAACAAAAGGGAAGUUCAUUGACUCUCAAGAUCCUUUCGCAAGUGAUGAGAUAGAUGACCCAGUAUGAAAAAUUACAGAGGACACACUUGAUGCUAUUAAUGCUGAUCUAGGUAAGAAUGAUGAUAAUAAAUAGGUUAAUGUGGACUUUUAAUUGUAUUAAUUUUUGCACUUUCUGAUUAUCUUUUGCUUUUUUUAUAAGCCACUUUGUGACCUUUUGUUUUUAGUACUUGUGUUGCACUCUUCAAUAGUUUUUUGUUUCCCUAUGUUAGUUAACGGUUGUGAAUUUCUGUAAGCCACUUUGUGGCAUUUUAAUUAUUAGUUGUGCAUUUCUGUAAGUUAUUUUGUGGCCAUAUUUAUAAACUUCUACACUUUUUCAAUAGUUUUUUUUUCUCCGUGUUAGUUAACGGUUCUAAAAUUUUGUGGCCAUGUCUUUAAUAAUGUCUUUGAAAAAAAGUAUAAACAUGAUUAAUAUAUUUAAUGAUGCCUUAUUUCAUUCUUACUCAUCCAUGAUUGAGGCAUUAACCAUAAAAAUAACACUUACGAUAUUGCAAAUGGUUUUUAUUUUGAAUGAUGAUUUUGAGUUUAUAAAUAUAUAUUAAUUUAAUUUUAAAAAAAUAUGUAUUAAUUUGAAUAUUUAAAAAUUGACAUUUAUUACUGAGUUAUGGCAUAUGAAAUUCAUGAUUCAACGUAUUAAAGUCAUAUUACAUGUUUUAUAAUAUAUAUGUAUAACCAAAUGCAUAAAUAUAUUCAUGUACCUUACGGAAAAAAUAUUGUGGCACCCUGAACUUUGUGAGUGACCUAUUAUGCCCUUGAAGUUACGAAUUUUUGCUAACAAAUGUACAUCUAUCUAUACUAAUAAUAACAUUUUUUUUAGUGUUUUUAGUAUUUAUGUGCAAGAUAUUCACUUAAUAUGUGGUUAGUAUAAUUUUUGGGACAAUAAUUUUCAUAUUUUUCAAUUAUCUAAUAAGUGUUUAAUUGAUCUAAUUUUAAAAGUUUGAGUAUUUAAUAGAAUAAUUUUUACAAGUUGAAGUAUUUAAUAGAUACAAUUUUAUUUUAUAUUGAAGUAUUUAAUAAGCUAAAGUAAAAAUUGAGGGUGCCACAAAAUUUUUUAGGUAAAGUACAGGUAUGAAUUUAUGCAUUGGGCUAUAUAUGUAUAAAUAUGCCUUUAUUCCAAAAAAUCCUUAUGGCACCAUGAAUUUUGCGAAUGACUUAUUAUGCUCCUGAAGUUAUAAAUUUUACUAAUAUUGUAUCCUUUCUAUAUUAAUAAUAACAUUUUUUUUUUGGUGUUUUUGGCAUUUAUGUGCUAGAUAUUCACUUAAUAUGUGGUCAAUAUAAUCUUUGCAACAAUAAUUUUCAUAUUUUUUAACUACUAUCUAUAUUCUACAAUACUUAUUACAUUUGGAAUUUCAUAUAUCUUAAGAAAACCAUUAAAUUUGUCUAAGUUACAAUAAAUUGUUGGGUAAAUUGACUAUAUUGCCCUUAAUUUAAUUCUAAUUCUCUAAGAAAACCAUUAAAUUGAAAUAAUAAUUAUUGGUCAUAUACAAAGGGUAAAUAUGGAAAAAAUGAAUUUAUUACUCCUUGAAACCACAAAUGUGACAAAUAUUUUGGAAUACACUAUUUUCUCAAAUUUGACAAGUAUUAUGAAAUGGAAGUAGUAUCUAAUAAGUGUUUAAUUAAUUUAAUUUUAGAAGUUUGAGUAUUCAAUAGAAUAACUUUUGCAAGUUGAAGUAUUUAAUUUAUAAAAUUUUAUAUAUUGAAGUGUUCAAUAGAUUAAAGUAAAAGUUAGGGUGACAUAAGAUUUUUUACAUAAAGUACAUGGAUGAAUUUAUGGAUUAGACCUCCAGAUAGAUAACAGGAAGUGUUAUGAAUUAUAUUAAUUCAUCAAUAAUAAUCCCUUCUAAUAACAAAAUAAAAUUAAUUAUUUCAAAGGAAAUGUUAGCAACUAUUUACCUUCAUUUUAAAGAAAAUUAUUAAUUUAAUUUCACGGAAACCUCCUCUCAAGGGGUUACAUUAAAUUGAAUACUGAUGGCUCUGCGAAAGGAAAUUCAGCGUUUGGGAGUUUGGAUUAAUAAUUGAAUGUGAUAAUCUAAUGGUGAAUUUGCUUCCACAUGUUCAUCCAUCAAAUAUCUCCUUGCAUGAUAUAAGUAGGUCUCUUAUCAACAAUUUGUAUGUCAGUUUGUGGACAGAGUUCCCCUCUACCAUUCAAUAUCUCUCAAAUAGCUUUGACGUUUUCUCAAUUUCUAAAUGAAGUAAUUUUCAUUAAUUAAAAAAAUUAAAAUUAUUGUUUUAUUUUUAUUGAAAAAAAUAUUCUUUUCAUUAUAUGGUGCAGAAUUAAGGUGAAAUUGUAGCUACUCCUAAAGUUCACUAUGAAAUAAUAUUAUAUUGAAACUAUAUUUGUAAUCUCAAAACUAUAAAGUGUAUUAUUCUAUUUAUAAAAAUUAGGGUCUUUAUUUUCAAAAUGUAACCUAUUAUUUAAUUCUGUACAAAUGUUAAUUUUAUCCAUCUUAUAAUUAUGGGUUGGCAGAAGGUAUCCAAAACUUCUUUUUUUUAGCUAUAAAAUUUUAUUAUUCAACCUUUAAAAGAGAAAAUUAUGAUUUUAUCUCUGUAUUUUGCUUAAAAUAAUUGACUUACUUUUGUAUUUUUAAAAAUAUACUAUUCUUUCCCUGUAUUUGGCCUCUGUCAUCCAUUUUUCAACAAUUUUGCCGUUAUGUAAACCUAAACAUGAGAGUCAAAGAUAAGACGUAAAAUUUUUAUGCCAGAGUUACCUUAUAACAUGAUAAUUUUCCCUUUUCUUAUUAUUCUCUUUUUCAACACAGGCUUCCUGCAUUUUUUGCAGCGCCUUUUGUCUUUUCUUUUUCUUUCUUUCCCAACAAAAUCUUUGCCUUUUUUUGUGGUUUGCCUUCUUUGUAUCAAUCGAAACUCAUUCUUAUCAUCAUAACAUCUUAUUGGGCUUUUUGGAUUUGACAAGAAUCUGAGAUUUCCUUAUCUUCUUCCCUUUUUGGCUUAUCUUCCUCUCUUUCAUAAUAGCCUUAGCCAUUUGGUAUUUUUCUUUUCACUUGAUUGUAUCUUACUUUGGCUUAUUCACAAGAACUCGAAUUGAAUUGCAUCAAUUUUUUAAACUCUUCUUCUUGGGUAAGGUUUUGAAUUGAAGAAAUUGGAAAAGAAAUUGAAAAAAUUGGAGAAUUACUCCACAAGGCCAUGAAUCCACUUUUUGACCCUCGUAAGCCCGCCGUGCCAUCACCUCCUGCGCCGUGAAAAUUGGUGUUCCACAAGCUGUCUGGAGAAUACAGCCGUCGUUUUGGGUCUCAGCAGCAAGCCGUUUGUUUUUAUAAGCGGCAGCUUGUUAUUUGUUGGGUUGUAACUUGAAAGGCUGUUUUGAGUUCAGGUGGCCAUUAUUUGGUGUAUAAUUCCCGAAAUUUUGCUUUUUUGUUUUUUCUGGGUUAAAGGACUGAGAUGGAAGAGGAAGAGGUUGAGAUGUAGAAAAUGAGGACAAUUUUGUCUUUUACAGUAUAUUUAACGGUAAAAGUAGUAAAAUUAGACGGAAGGGCACAAGUGAUCAAUGAAGUUAAAGGUUAAGGGCAAAAUAGUGUACUUCUAAAACUGCGAGGAUAUGCUAAGUUAAUUUUGACAAAAUAUAAGGAUAAAAUCAUAAUUUUUGCUCUUUAAAAUUUGUAGCGAAUUUCCUCAUGAACAUAAUCUGAGCUCUAAAUUUUGUAUUGGAAUUUAGUACAAAAACUUUAUAACUUAAAAGUCGGUAAAAUAUUUAACAUGAUAUAAUGCUCAUUUGUAAAUUUUUAUGAAAAUAAUUAUUUGCUUAAAAUAUUUAUAAGAAUCCUAUAUUUGUACUAAAAUCAUUUUUUAGUACUUCAUUUAUGAAAAUCAUGUACAUAUUUUAUAAAUUUAUAUUAAUUUUUUUUGCAACAUAUACAUUUUGCACCUUAGGAACAAAAAAAAAAAAAAGAAAAAUU
rnacentral:lncRNA from 1 species